rnacentral:rRNA from 1 species
UACGUAGGGUGCUAGCGUUGUUCGGAAUCAUUGGGCGUAAAGCGCGUGUAGGCGGUUUGAUAAGUCGAGUGUGAAAUCCCUGGGCUUAACCGAGGAAGUGCAUUCGAAACUAUCUGGCUAGAAGACGGUAGAGGAAGGUGGAAUUCCUAGUGUAGAGGUGAAAUUCGUAGAUAUUCGGAAGAACACCAGUGGCGAAGGCGGCUCACUGGCCCGGUACUGACGCUGAGGUGCGAAAGCGUGGGGAGCAAACAGG